rnacentral:rRNA from 1 species
GAUGAACGCUGUCAGAAUGCUUAACACAUGCAAGUCAACUUGAACUUCGGUUUGGGUGGCGGACGGGUGAGUAACGCGUAAAGAACUUGCCUCACAGCUAGGGACAACAUUUGGAAACGAAUGCUAAUACCUGAUAUUAUGAUUAUAUGGCAUCGUAUAAUUAUGAAAGCUAUAUGCGCUGUGAGAGAGCUUUGCGUCCCAUUAGCUAGUUGGAGAGGUAACAGCUCACCAAGGCGAUGAUGGGUAGCCGGCCUGGGAGGGUGAUCGGCCACAAGGGGACUGAGACACGGCCCUUACUCCUACGGGAGGCAGCAGUGGGGAAUAUUGGACAAUGGACCGAGAGUCUGAUCCAGCAAUUCUGUGUGCACGAUGAAGUUUUUCGGAAUGUAAAGUGCUUUCAGUUGGGAAGAAAAAAAUGACGGUACCAACAGAAGAAGUGACGGCUAAAUACGUG